rfam:Populus trichocarpa scaffold_1_contig_528, whole genome shotgun sequence.
UCUAGAACUCGAGAUAUGGGCAGAACACUGAAUAGUGUUUAGGCUGCAGGACAGAUCUAGGUUUCUCUUUUGAUGCUAAGAUUUGGACUUCCAAAUGACAGAAUUGAGUCUUGGACUCCCAUGAAUAUUUUAGGCCUAUGUCUUAGCUUUUUAGC